GGCCUGGGUGCCAGAACUAUGUGUCCAGCCGGCUGGCGCCGCCACGCCUGAGCAGAUUUCAGCACAAGGAAGACAUUGAAAAACCAAGGAGAUUCAGAUGUGAAAAGCACAAAUGAUUACAAGAAAUUGCCAGCUUGAUUUAUGAGCUUUCCCUUUUAAAGUGAUGUUUUCAAGAAAUGCCAUAUAGAUGAUCUGUGAAUAGAGGUUCCUGGUUCUACUAAGAUGAAAGGGAAAUGGAUAUGAAGAUUUAUGUGAGAAGUGUGCGAGUUGGCAGGGUGAUUUCUGAAAUACAUCCAGCUUUCAUUGUGUAAUCACCUUCCAUGAAGAUUUUGCAAUGGCAAAGACACAUUUCUCUCCUUGGGUAAUGGAAUUCCUAUGAUAAUCAACACCAAUUGAGAUCCAGGCACGGUUGACUGCGAUGGAAUAAGGCAGAACCGUACAAGCUGCAAGAGAAACAGACGUCUUGCAUUUUUGGAGACACUGUGGAAACUGGCUGCCAAUCAAGAAGAUGGCAGAUGCGAGGAUGAAGGGCAGUCAAGUGCCUGAGAAGGUUUCAGAACCCAAGGGCUUGAAUUCAAAGGAGCAAGCUUCUGACAAAGGUUCUGGCAUCCUGGUGACCAGCCCAAGGUGGUGCCUGACAGCUGAUGUGAAAAAUGUAAAAGAAGUGAAGCAGGGAGGAAGUUUACAAGCUUGAAGAACACUCUUGUUGUUUCAACAGACUUCAGCAAACCAUCCAGCAAACACAGGGGUAAGAAUUGAAGUUCCAAUAAAACACAAAUUCAAGAUGGCUGCCUGGUAACCACCAUAACCAAGCUUGAUCGUGCAGAAGGGGAUCAUAUUGCAGACGAUUUCU